AUUUGAGUUUUCUAGGGUUCCGCAAAGAUGAAUCUUUGGUCAGGUCCGAGAGGAAACGCACAUUUAUGUGUACACGGAGGGAGAAAAGCCUGGGAGAU
rnacentral:sRNA from 1 species